rnacentral:rRNA from 1 species
GACGAACGCUGGCGGCGUGCCUAAUACAUGCAAGUCGAACGCAUUUUCUUUCACCGUAGCUUGCUACACCGAAAGAAAGUGAGUGGCGAAAGGGUGAGUAACCCGUGGGUAACCUGCCCAUCAGCGGGGGAUAACCCUUGGUAACAGGUGCUAAUACCGCAUACUUCCAUUUACUGCAUGGUAGAUGGGUGAAAGGCGCUUUUGUGGCACUGACGGAUGGACCUGCGGUGCAUUAGCUAGUUGGUGAGGUAACGGCCUACCAUGGCUACGAUGCAUAGCCGACCUGAGAGUGUGAUAGGCGACACUGGAACUGAGCCACGGUCCAGACUCCUACGGGAGGCAGCAGUCGGGAAUCUUCCGCAAUGGGCGAAAGCCUGACGGAGCAACGCAGCGUGAGUGAUGAAGGUCUUCGGAUCGUAAAACUCUGUUAUUAGGGAAGAACAUAUGUGUAAGUAACUGUGCACAUCUUGACGGUACCUAAUCAGAAAGCCACGGCUAACUACGUG